AUUGAACGCUGGCGGCAGGCCUAACACAUGCAAGUCGAGCGGGGUUUUCGGACCUAGCGGCGGACGGGUGAGUAAUGCGUAGGAAGCUGCCCGAUAGAGGGGGAUACCAGUUGGAAACGACUGUUAAUACCGCAUAAUGUCUACGGACCAAAGUGUGGGACCUUCGGGCCACAUGCUAUCGGAUGCGCCUACGUGGGAUUAGCUAGUUGGUGAGGUAAUGGCUCACCAAGGCGACGAUCUCUAGCUGGUUUGAGAGGAUGAUCAGCCACACUGGAACUGAGACACGGUCCAGACUCCUACGGGAGGCAGCAGUGGGGAAUAUUGGACAAUGGGCGCAAGCCUGAUCCAGCCAUGCCGCGUGUGUGAAGAAGGCCUUCGGUUGUAAGGCACUUUUGUUCAGGAACGAAACGGUAGGGGGCGUAAGU
rnacentral:rRNA from 1 species